rnacentral:lncRNA from 1 species
AUCCAAUCAAAUGGAAAGCCUUCUGAGGAUAUUAAACAUUAUUUAAAUGAUUAAGUUAUCAUUUAAUCAACCAUUAAAUAAACAUCCUUUGAAAGCAUGUAGGUCAUUGCAUGUUGUGUCCAGAAAACAUACAUGCACCUGGCCUAAUGGAGGCCAGUAGCAUAAGGAGAAUUAAGGGCAUCAUAUGAAUGAUUCCAUGAAUAAAUACUAUCAAGGAUGAAUGCAGUGUGCAGUACUACUGAAAUACAGGUGCGUCUAGCCUAAGGGAGGUUGGAGGAUGCAAAGACUUCCAUUAGAAAUAGGACUUCAUAGUUGAAUCCUGGGAGUGAGGACACAAUCAA